CACAUUACAUAUCCAUUGCAGCUCUGACUUGACGCAUUGGCUAAAAACACUAAUAGGUAGGAGUAGUCAGGCUACCUCACAGAAAUUACUAGCACAUUUUACUUCCUAUUUUUCUUGGAGGGCUAUAGACUUACUAUAAAUGAAAGCUUAAGAGUCUGGGGCCACUGCCCGGGGCACCAAUAAAGGCCUGGUUAGGCACCAGUUGACAACCCCUGUCCUAAGAGCUGCUGCAUGCGCUGGCCAGGGCAGAAGGAGGUGCUGAUGGGUUAUUAAUAUUAUUUUGCUGCACCAGUUCUAGGCUCGUGCAUCAGAGGGUCCCAAAUUUUGCACCUUUCCAGGAAACUAACCAGUUUUAGAUCCACUCUACCACUCUAGGGCCUUAGGAUGGUGAAAAUUAUGAUGGCACCACACACUGCAGCAUGCAGUGUGGACCUCCACAGUAGUGUCUUUCCAAGAAAAAAGAAACACAGAAUGAGUCUAUGAGAGUUAGACACCCCUAAGGCACUGACUAGGUGAUCCUAACUGUACAUAAGACUGGGCUGAAUGGAUUAAGUGUUUGUGUGUCCGUGAAUGAACGAAUGUGUGCAAAAAUGUAAUACAUUGUGGCACUAUUUUAUUUGCCAAAUCAACUUUGGAAAUAGCUGUGUGUAGAAGGAAAUGUGGUCAAAAUGAUCAUUUGGUUUAGACAUGAUUACUGUAAAUGAGUCUAUCACUAUGCCAUUAUUCAUAUCUCAGGGAUAUGAAUAAGAAUGUUAAUGAAUUGGAUAGCUGCCUGAAUGGGUAAUUCACCUAAAGGGAUGUGCUGAAACAACUAGCAGUUUGGAGUGUGUGUUUUUCCAGUUAGCAUUAGCUGGAACUGGGAUAUAAUAUAGGAAUACUAUACAAGUUGCUCUCUUGGGUUUUGCUGCCAGUUUUUAGGAGUCUGCUCUCGUCACACAGGCUCUAUUUGUAUAUUCAUACAUAAAGUGAUUACAAAGUCUUCUGUGCUCUAUAAUCCAAAGAAAAUUAAUUCCUAAAGUAAAUUUUAAAAAGCUGAAAUAUAUUUCUGUUCUUCACAAAACUCUUGUGUGUUUUGCUUAAGGCUGCAAGUAGAUCUUGGUAGCAGCUAGAUUUUUUGUUUUCAAAGAUGCGGGAUCAGUUAUUGCAUGCUUCUUUGUCCCAGCAAUCUCCAGUUCAACCUGAAAACUUCAUAGCAUCAGAACUUAAGCCACUGUUAUCCAAAUCCCAUGCUUGUCUACCAAUGGAGCUUUCUCCCAAGCAAAGGAUGCAUAAAGAGUAAGCCCCCAUUAAAUUCAAUGGGACUUACCUCAAGUAAGCAUUUUCAGGAUUGUCCUAUAAGUCUGAAAUCUCCUCUUAUGCUCUAUUUUAAGAUGAUGACUAAAUUUACACUUUGUGGCUUCAACAUCAAGUUCAACUCCCCCACCCCACCUUUUUUCUUAAUACCAGGUCCAAGUUCUAUUUUGUUAUGUUUUCAGAGGUUGUAAUGCAAGUAUAACCCAAUCUGAGGUUUUGGAAUUUUUCUUAUGGACCAACAAAACUGUUGCUUUUCUAAACCCUUUAGUAAUAGCCAUGUUUCAUUAUAUUCACACUAUAGCUAUUUGCAAAGGAAAAACCCACACAAAGUGAGAUUUUGAUGUGCCUCUAACUGAAACUUUUAAGAGACUUAAAUCUUCACAUUACAGUUCACAGGAGUCAUGCUUCAUGUGCUGAAACAUUUUCCUUUGCAUUGAGAAAGAUAAUCAAAUAUUAUUGUAUUACAAAAUCUUGCAAUUUAAAAUAAAUUGAGCCGUAUCAA